AUGCUGGAGGUAUCAGAAGUGCGAAUGCUGACAUAAGUAACGAUAAAGCGGGUGAAAAGCCCGCUCGCCGGAAGACCAAGGGUUCCUGUCCAACGUUAAUCGGGGCAGGGUGAGUCGACCCCUAAGGCGAGGCCGAAAGGCGUAGUCGAUGGGAAACAGGUUAAUAUUCCUGUACUUGGUGUUACUGCGAAGGGGGGACGGAGAAGGCUAUGUUGGCCGGGCGACGGUUGUCCCGGUUUAAGCGUGUAGGCUGGUUUUCCAGGCAAAUCCGGAAAAUCAAGGCUGAGGCGUGAUGACGAGGCACUACGGUGCUGAAGCAACAAAUGCCCUGCUUCCAGGAAAAGCCUCUAAGCAUCAGGUAACAUCAAAUCGUACCCCAAACCGACACAGGUGGUCAGGUAGAGAAUACCAAGGCGCUUGAGAGAACUCGGGUGAAGGAACUAGGCAAAAUGGUGCCGUAACUUCGGGAGAAGGCACGCUGAUAUGUAGGUGAAGUCCCUCGCGGAUGGAGCUGAAAUCAGUCGAAGAUACCAGCUGGCUGCAACUGUUUAUUAAAAACACAGCACUGUGCAAACACGAAAGUGGACGUAUACGGUGUGACGCCUGCCCGGUGCCGGAAGGUUAAUUGAUGGGGUUAGCCGCAAGGCGAAGCUCUUGAUCGAAGCCCCGGUAAACGGCGGCCGUAACUAUAACGGUCCUAAGGUAGCGAAAUUCCUUGUCGGGUAAGUUCCGACCUGCACGAAUGGCGUAAUGAUGGCCAGGCUGUCUCCACCCGAGACUCAGUGAAAUUGAACUCGCUGUGAAGAUGCAGUGUACCCGCGGCAAGACGGAAAGACCCCGUGAACCUUUACUAUAGCUUGACACUGAACAUUGAGCCUUGAUGUGUAGGAUAGGUGGGAGGCUUGGAAGUGUGGACGCCAGUCUGCAUGGAGCCGACCUUGAAAUACCACCCUUUAAUGUUUGAUGUUCUAACGUUGACCCGUAAUCCGGGUUGCGGACAGUGUCUGGUGGGUAGUUUGACUGGGGCGGUCUCCUCCUAAAGAGUAACGGAGGAGCACGAAGGUUGGCUAAUCCUGGUCGGACAUCAGGAGGUUAGUGCAAUGGCAUAAGCCAGCUUGACUGCGAGCGUGACGGCGCGAGCAGGUGCGAAAGCAGGUCAUAGUGAUCCGGUGGUUCUGAAUGGAAGGGCCAUCGCUCAACGGAUAAAAGGUACUCCGGGGAUAACAGGCUGAUACCGCCCAAGAGUUCAUAUCGACGGCGGUGUUUGGCACCUCGAUGUCGGCUCAUCACAUCCUGGGGCUGAAGUAGGUCCCAAGGGUAUGGCUGUUCGCCAUUUAAAGUGGUACGCGAGCUGGGUUUAGAACGUCGUGAGACAGUUCGGUCCCUAUCUGCCGUGGGCGCUGGAGAACUGAGGGGGGCUGCUCCUAGUACGAGAGGACCGGAGUGGACGCAUCACUGGUGUUCGGGUUGUCAUGCCAAUGGCACUGCCCGGUAGCUAAAUGCGGAAGAGAUAAGUGCUGAAAGCAUCUAAGCACGAAACUUGCCCCGAGAUGAGUUCU
rnacentral:rRNA from 1 species